UACGGAGGGGCUAGCGUUGUUCGGAAUUACUGGGCGUAAAGCGUACGUAGGCGGCUUUGUAAGUUAGAGGUGAAAGCCCAGAGCUCAACUCUGGAAUUGCCUUUAAGACUGCAUCGCUUGAAUCGUGGAGAGGUUAGUGGAAUUCCGAGUGUAGAGGUGAAAUUCGUAGAUAUUCGGAAGAACACCAGUGGCGAAGGCGACUACCUGGACAAUUGCUGACGCUCAGGCACGAAAGCGUGGGAGCAAAAGGG
rnacentral:rRNA from 1 species